GGAAUAAAGAAAGAUGAAUGGAUGGAUACUAACAAUAGGAAAACCAUUGUGAAAUAGAACAUCUGUGUGGCACAAACUGGAAAACAACAUCUUGAUUCUAA